rnacentral:misc_RNA from 1 species
AGUUUGGUGUCGAAAAUCAGAGCGAUUAGAUGUAUAUCCGCGUCACUCUACGAAAAGUUUCGACGUUUCUGUUACAUAGUACUUUCCUUCCUUCUUUCACCGUUUAAUCGGACGCUAUUCUAACUUCGUAUAAUUGUACAUUAUUGCUUGAUUGCGAGAAAGACUUCGAAAUAUUAGAGGGAUGUCACGAAAAUCGGAGGGACAAACUGACAUUCAAAAGGACGCCACAAUGAUUAGUAAUGAAUCCGAUAAUUUUUCAUCGAAAUAUGUAAUGGCGGACAUUCAGUUUGGCGGGCAAUUUUUAUAAAUCAGUCGUGAAAUAUUUAUAAAUAUUUGACAGUGUAGUAGGAAAUACUUUGUAGUGUUCAAAAAUAUUUGAAAUAUAUUAAAUAUAUAUUUUUUGUUAUAUUCUUAAUAUGAUAUGUUUCUAUCUGUGGUCAAUGAAUAAUAAUUAGUUUAUAAUGUUUGAAAAGCAGUAUUUUCAUGAAUAAACACUCGAUAGAAGAAAGGAGAGAAAUAUGCAAAAUAGUACAUGUGUAUUUUAUUUCUUUCCCUUACUUCUAUCCCUUAAUAAAGUUCUUUUCCAGAGAAUUUUUGUGAUCGCGCGCAAUGUGGUCAAUAGAGUCAGUGUUUGAUGC